CGAAAUAUCGUCUAAUGGUUAGGACAUUAAACUUUCAAUUUAAUAAUAAAGGUUCGAUUCCUUUUAUUUCGA
rnacentral:tRNA from 1 species